rnacentral:rRNA from 1 species
GGCAGGGUAACGGCCUACCAAGACAACGAUCAGUAGCCGGCUUGAGAGAGUGGACGGCCACAUUGGGACUGAGACACGGCCCAGACUCCUGCGGGAGGCAGCAGUGGGGAAUAUUGCACAAUGGGGGGAACCCUGAUGCAGCAAUGCCGCGUGGGUGAAGAAGCACUCCGGUGCGUAAAGCCCUGUCAGCAGGGAAGAAAAUGACAGUACCUGGACAAGAAGCCCCGGCUAACUACGUGCCAGCAGCCGCGGUAAUACGUAGGGGGCAAGCGUUAUCCGGAUUUACUGGGUGUAAAGGGAGCGCAGGCGGCGUGGCAAGUCAGAUGUGAAAACCCGGGGCCCAACCCCGGGAGUGCAUUUGAAACUGCCAUGCUGGAGUGCCGGAGAGGUAAGCGGAAUUCCUAGUGUAGCGGUGAAAUGCGUAGAUAUUAGGAGGAACACCAGUGGCGGAGGCGGCUUACUGGACGGUAACUGACGCUGAGGCUCGAAAGCGUGGGGAGCAAACAGGAUUAGAUACCCUGGUAGCCCACGCCGUAA